UUUUGAUAAUAUUUUCAAAAUCAGAAUUAAAUCUUUAAACAACUAAUCUGAUCUUUCAUUGGUUUUCCAUUUAAAUAUAAUUACGAUAAAAAAUGGCCGAAGAAAAUGAUUCAACAACAA